UUAAUUGAAGCCAAAAAAGAGGCAUGUCAUUGUUAAUGAUAUAAUUGAGAAUCCUCCUCCAAUUAAG
rnacentral:tRNA from 1 species